rnacentral:rRNA from 1 species
GACGAACGCUGGCGGCGUGCUUAACACAUGCAAGUCGAACGGUAAGGCCCUUCGGGGUACACGAGUGGCGAACGGGUGAGUAACACGUGGGUGAUCUGCCCUGCACUUUGGGAUAAGCCUGGGAAACUGGGUCUAAUACCGAAUAUGACUACAGGCUGCAUGGUCUGUGGUGGAAAGCUUUUGCGGUGUGGGAUGGGCCCGCGGCCUAUCAGCUUGUUGGUGGGGUGAUGGCCUACCAAGGCGACGACGGGUAGCCGGCCUGAGAGGGUGACCGGCCACACUGGGACUGAGAUACGGCCCAGACUCCUACGGGAGGCAGCAGUGGGGAAUAUUGCACAAUGGGCGCAAGCCUGAUGCAGCGACGCCGCGUGAGGGACGACGGCCUUCGGGUUGUAAACCUCUUUCAGCACAGACGAAGCGCAAGUGACGGUAUGUGCAGAAGAAGGACCAGCCAACUACGUG